UAUUAUCCUAUUACCUGAUUAUGUUGGAGGCAGGAGCAGCUGCAGGGGCAAGCUGGGGUCAGAUGUUUCUCCUCAGGAUCAAGGAGCUGCUCCUUCAGUUCUCCAUUCAAUUGCUGGAGUUUCAGAGGAUGAGGAGCAGCCUGGUAGUCCAGCUCAUCUCUUGUGAUGUAAUGGUGGUAGUGCUGGCCAGACUCUCGGUUCCCCUUUGCCCGUCCAGGACAAGAGGCGUGGUUGUUAUGGUUGUUGUAGUAGUGAUGCCUGAUGUUGCCGUUUGCCUGAUUUUUGUGCUGCUGGCUGGGAUGAUGGACACCCCUGCCGUUGCUGUGUUUGUAUGGGUCGGUGUCACGGUAGUAGAUGUCACAAUUUUCAGGGUCGAAGGUCGUGUCACUCAUGGUUUCGUCAGGGUACAGCGGGCUCCUCUCACACUCUGGAGUUGUGCAGUUCUCCCCCACCUCAUAGACAAAGAAGAUUUUGGACAUGUAGUCUAUGAUGAGGACUUUAGCCCAGUGAGGGACUGGCUUGGCCUCAGCGCCACAGAAAUGAAUGUUCAUAAUGAAGAUGGUGAGGGAUGUUGAGGCUGUGAUCAUUGUCAUGGUGGCGAUGUAGUAUUUUCCUAGGAAUUUGAUAAAGGUAAAGGUUACACAAUACUCCCAACGUUAGGUGCAAUUGCAAAAUCAUAUGAGACCCAUGACAAGGGUUGUAUCUACAUUUCUGCCUUCAGAAGUAUAAUUAAGCUCUGUUUUAAUGGACACUGCCAGACAUAUAUUCAUUUAACAUAAUCUUAUUAUUGUAUUUGUCGUAUGAUGGUAGAAUGUAAAUUAUGUGGAAAAAAGCAGCUAUAUGUUUAAAGAGAGAGUUUGGGUAUUUUGACGUGAAGUUGUAUGACAUCCCCAUCAGCAAUGUAGUGCAUCAAUGCUUCAUUCUGUGAGCCGAGUUCUGGUUGGUUUUCGGUGUUGCUAAUUGUUGGGGUCAACGUACUAGCUGAUUCUUGAGAGCCUCUUCCGAGUAUAAUACCGUAUCGGCAGCAUCUAAUAAGCGUUCCCUCCCUCUAUCGUGGGUCACCCUUCGCGGAUUCGCUGUUUCGCUGAAUUUUUUUGUGCUUUUCUUUUUUAAAGGCCAAGCCUGGCCCUUUCAGAAGAAUUGCAAUGCGCAAAGUUGUCGUCUGUCUGCAGCGCCCAUUGUUUUCUGUGUCUUGAUUGGCUGUAGACCUUUGUCCAUCAAUCUCCUUCGUGCCGCCCUGCCGUGUCUCCUGUGUCAUGCUAGCUUGCUUGCCAGCUUGUAAAUGAAUCUUCGGUUCAAAAGAGGAGGACUGCAACAGGUGGAGGACUGCAGCAAUAUGUUUUAACAAGGAUAGAAAAACGCUACAGUACAGCAGAACGGCGCCAGGAUGAAAAGGCACAGGAGUGAAAUACACGCGGCAUGCUCUCAGCAACCAGCAGUUGAAACACGGUGAGGGCCAACAGCACGGUCACCCCCAGGGACACCUUCUCCCCCGAGUCGGCAGGGAGGUAGAAGCCCAGCGGCGCCAGGAACGAGAUGAGGAAGCACGGCAGCAGCAGGUUGAAGAUGUAGAAGGACGAGCGACGCUUAAGGAGCAGGGUGUAGGUGACCUCUGUGUAAGGAUCAGAGCAGCAGCCGUACAUCAUGACGUUCCUCACUGCUGGCAUACCAUGGCACUCCCACUCUACAUUCUCCACAAAGUCAGACAGGUCGCCGCUGUCCAUCCCCAAGCUGAUGUCCACCUGUGUGAAAGACCAUUGGUGGUCCAGGAGCCGAAGGUGAGGUUGCACUGCUGCCAGUCAAAAGGGAAGUAAGAAACAUCCACCACACACGUACUCUUCGUGAUGGCCGGAGAGUCCCAGACAAUCUCCCCAUUGUAGCGCAGCUUCACAUUGGUGUUGGACGGACCAGACAAUUCCUCAUCUGCUCUGAACACAUUAGAUGCAAGUCAGAUGCAAACACACCUGCUUUUAGAGGACAAUGUCUGGCUUCCAAACCAAGUCGCUGGGGAUGUUGAUCAUCUCCAGAUCAUCGUAGUCCUCCUUGUUCCACUUCAGGUUGGCAUCGUGCCACACCUGUCUGAUCCACAGAGAUGCAGCUCUCCCGAUGUGCUCCCGACUCCCGCAAGUCCGUCUGGGUGGCCACGACCAGCACCGGCACUUUGGACCCAGCUGGAUUAGGACUCCAUCCAUGUAGACCUCCACACCUGUGUUGUCGAACACCGUAGGCCUGUAGGCAUCUGGGAAGGUUCCUGAGGCGAAUCUGACCAGAAGGGACGUCUUUCCCACCGCGCUGUCCCCGACCAGGACGCACUUGACUGACAUUCCAACAGCCAGCUCUGCUCUGCACUCACCAAGUGACGAUAAGACAAGCAACUGAAAAACAGAAGGCAAGAAAUGAAAAGCACAUCCGCUUGCUGGGAGAGAAGAGAGGGUCACACGUCCCUCCCCCACAGCCACAGCUGUUGCAUUCACUUACAGACACGGUCCAGAUGCUCCAGGGCCUCAGUCACGUGCAGCCCAUGGAGGUCCAAAAUGUUGUUCGGGAGAAGCGAGGAGUUGACCCUCUCAAAGAUCUGGACUGCUGCACGAUGGUUGGCCUCAUACAUUUUCUGCCCGUGUAAGUGUCCCUUGUGAAACAGAUGAACCAAAUACUUUUUUCUCUGCGCACAACAGCACCUCUCCUGGUUGCAUCCAAGUAGUGCAUUCCAAGAUGAAUAAAAGCGUCUGCGCUUACCUGCAGUGCAUAAAAUGAAGCCACCUGUUUGCGUCCUUGCUUGUGAGCCUCAGCAGCCUUAGAAAAACACUCGAGCUGCCGACUUCUUUGCAGACUCGCCUCGGCCCUGAAGUCCUCAUACUGAGGAUCCUCUGUGUCCUGGUAGUUCUGGAGGGGUAUGGAAGAGUCCGGAAUCUUCUGCCUCUGGCAAAUUUAAAAGCAGUUCAGUGGCUGACAAGUAAGACCAAGAAGACUCUCUACAAAUCAUAUCUGAGAGAAACUGGUGUAAAAUAGGCACUAUCAAUUGUAUGGCAUCACUUGAUUUUCAGCUGGGAUAGGCUCCAGCAUACCCAUGACCCUAGUGGGCAACACGCGGUACAGAAAAUGGAUAAACAUAGCAGUGUGUGUAUAUAUAUAUAUAUAUAUAUAUAUAUAUAUAUAUAUAUAUAUAUGUAUAUGUAUGUAUAUAUAUGUGUAUAUAUAUAUGUAUAUAUAUAUAUAUGUGUGUGUAUAUAUAUA